GACGAAGGUGGCGAGCGUUGUUCGGAAUCACUGGGCAUAAAGCGCACGUAGGCGGCGGCGUAAGUUGGAUGUGAAAUCCCCCGGCCCAACCGGGGAACUGCGUCCAGUACUGCGUUGCUUGAGGAUCCAAGGGGUGCAUGGAAUUCCCGGUGGAGCGGUGAAAUGCGUUGAUAUCGGGAAGAACACCCGUGGCGAAGGCGGUUCUCUGGGACGGUACUGACGCUGAGGAGCGAAAGCGUGGGGAGCGAACAGG
rnacentral:rRNA from 1 species